rnacentral:SRP_RNA from 1 species
UCGUGCUAGGCGGGGAACUAGCGGUGCCCUGUAUCCGCGAUCCGCUACAGCGGGGCUGAAUUCCCCUCUCGCGGGGUUGAUCUCCGCAGGACGGCACUGAACCGGCGGCGUUGAAGGUCGUGUCCCGCGCGGCGGAGGCCUGUGAACCCCGCCAGGUCCGGAAGGAAGCAACGGUAAGCAGACACCCCGGGUGACGCGGGAGUGCCUGGCUGGAGCAUGCUGAUCAGUGCUUGCUGUUGGAAUCACCACAACAGAGGGGUGCACGA